rnacentral:misc_RNA from 1 species
GAUGAAGAACGUAGCAAAAUGCGAUAAGUAAUGUGAAUUGCAGAAUUCAGUGAAUCAUCGAAUCUUUGAACGCACAUUGCGCCCGCUGGUAUUCCGGCGGGCAUGCCUGUUCGAGCGUCAUUUCAACCCUCAAGCCCCCGGGUUUGGUGUUGGGGAUCGGCUCUGCCCUUCUGGGCGGUGCCGCCCCCGAAAUACAUUGGCGGUCUCGCUGCAGCCUCCAUUGCGUAGUAGCUAACACCUCGCAACUGGAACGCGGCGCGGCCAUGCCGUAAAACCCCAACUUCUGAAUGUUGACCUCGGAUCAGGUAGGAAUACCCGCUGAACUUACGCAUAUCAAUAAGCGGAGGA